rnacentral:rRNA from 1 species
CCUACGGGUGACAGCAGUGAGGAAUAUUGGUCAAUGGGCGCGAGCCUGAACCAGCCAAGUAGCGUGAAGGAUGACUGCCCUACGGUUUGUAAACUUCUUUUAUAAAGAAGUAAAUGCAUGCACGUGUGCCUUUUUGUAUUUACUUUAUGAAUAAGGAUCGGCUAACUCCGUUCCAGCAGCCGCGGUAAGACGGAGGAUCCGAGCGUUGUCCGGAUUUAUUGGGUUUAAAGGGAGCGUAGAUGGGGUGUUAAGUCAGUUGUUAAAGUUUGGGGCUCAACCUUAAUAUGGCAAUUGAUACUGUAAGACUUGAGUACAGUUGAGGUAGGCGGAAUUCGUGGUGUAGCGGUGAAAUGCUUAGAUAUCACGAAGAACACCGAUAGCGAAGGCAGCUUACUAGCCUGAAACUGACACUGAUGCUCGAAAGUGUGGGUAGCAAACAGGAUUAGAUACCCUUGUAGUC